ACCAAAGCAUGGCACUGAAGAUGCCAAGAUGGACCCUUUUUCCCAAGGAC
rnacentral:tRNA from 1 species